rnacentral:rRNA from 1 species
AUUGAACGCUGGCGGCAUGCCUUACACAUGCAAGUCGAACGGUAACGCGGGGCAACCUGGCGACGAGUGGCGAACGGGUGAGUAAUAUAUCGGAACGUGCCCAAUAGUGGGGGAUAGCCCGGCGAAAGCCGGAUUAAUACCGCAUGAUACCGGAGGGGGAAAGCGGGGGAUCGCAAGACCUCGCGCUAUGGGAGCGGCCGAUAGCAGAUUAGGUAGUUGGUGGGGUAAAGGCCUACCAAGCCUGCGAUCUGUAGCUGGUCGGAGAGGAUGACCAGCCACACUGGGACUGAGACACGGCCCAGACUCCUACGGGAGGCAGCAGUGGGGAAUUUUGGACAAUGGGCGCAAGCCUGAUCCAGCCAUGCCGCGUGCGGGAAGAAGGCCUUCGGGUUGUAAACCGCUUUUGUCAGGGAAGAAAUCUUCUGGGUUAAUACCUCGGGAGGAUGACGGUACCUGAAGAAUAAGCACCGGCUAACUACGUGCCAGCCGCCGCGGUAAAAC